rnacentral:lncRNA from 1 species
UGGAGGUGGGUUGCCCUGGUGGUUGUGGUUGCUGCCUUCAGGUUGAUUGCCAUCACCGGUGACAGCGGUUCUCCUGGUCGUCACCAUCUGAAAACCCCACACAGAACCAGCAAACAGAGAGAGAGAGCUGACGAUUAAAACUAACCACCCACGACUACUAUAAUUCUUGAAUUUAUUACUGCUAUUAAAUUGGUUCAUUAAUGUUCAAGUUGCUUAGGCAAAUAAAAUAAGACAGGCUCCGACACAGUUAUGCCACACACCGGCAUAACUAUGCCCCACACAACUCAAGAAGACAAACGAGGAAAAACACACGCGCAAGCCUACUAACUGCUCGUCUACCGCUGCGACGGGCCAGGACGGAAGGUGAGCAACAGCGCACCCUCCGUGCUACCAACGCCGGAGGCUUCCCCCUCCUGGGGAACCACGGGCGCGGGCUCGGCACGAGGGGUCUCGACAAAGCAGGUCCACGCCAGGGACUGACGAACCAGCUCGGGCCUGGAGGUGCUCUUGCGGGCGGUGAUCUUCUGGCUGCGGCAAACGCGGCGACGCUUGGGGCGGCAGUCCUCUCCCUGGGCGAUCUUGAGCUGAUGCAGCUGCGCCUCCACCGCGUCGAGGUCCUUCUUGAGCUGCAGGUUCUCCUGACGCAGCUCCAGGAUCUUCAUGUUGUUCUCAACCAUCCCGCGGCGUACCAUCUGAUGGAAGUCGAUACGAGCCGCGUCGUACGCCUCCACCAUGCGCGCCAGGUGCACGACGGUAGCAUCAUCCUCCGAGCUAGCAUCCCGGAAGGUGGCGUAGUCGCGGGCUCCUCCGCGACGAGGGUGGUAGCGGUAGGGCGAGUGCUGCAACUCGUCCGGGUAGCGCUGGUGAAGAGUGCCGAUGGCGAGGAGAGCGGCGUUCUGGCAAGCGGCGGGGAAGGAAUCUCCACCCGCGGUGACUGCCAGCGAAGUCCGCUCGGGGGAGCCAGAGAGGAUCACUGCAGUGACCUCCCAACCAGCGUGGGGCUCCGCGUCGUCACCCUCCUGAUCCGGAAGCGGCCUGGCCUGGUAGUCCACUCCAUGUGGAUACCCCAAGACCACGCACAUGCCUCGCAGCUCCAAGACGAAGCCAGUCAUGUCCAAACCACGACGGGUGACGCUGCCGGCCAUCUACAAACAAAAACAGAAAGAAAAACAACAUUUUAAAGAUCAGAUUUUGGCGAUAAAUGAAGCAGCAAGACAGAGAGAGACUAGAGGAUUUUCACAAAUACAAGAGAUUUUUAUUUCGAAAAAUACUGCUAAGGCUUGGGAUCUACGGCUCGUCCUAGGGUCAAGGGUAGCUCUGAUACCAACUUGUCACGACCGGAAAUAACCCAACGGGCUUUCCUGACGUGCGUGCAUUAAUCCUUGUCCCAGGAGGCAAGGUACACCAAAAGUUGAUACAAUUCAGAGUUUAACAAGCGGAAGCGUAAAUAGUUAACUUAUUACAUGGGCAGCGAAGGCCCAACACACACAAAGACAAACGAGAAACAGCGGAAGACUAGGGCGACGACCACAGGCGCUUGACGGCAGGCACGAGCUAGACACCAAAGCCUUCAUCUUCAAGGAGCUCCUCUUCUGGACUUGGGAAAAAUUGAGCAAGACUGAGUACAACCACCGUACUCAACAAGACACACCCACAAAUGCAGAAUAAAUGCAAGGGAGUACAAGGAAUUAUACCAUAAAGGGGUUAGGGUUGCAGUAAACAGCAUUUAAAGACAUUUAGUUGCUCAGGGCUAUUUUGUAAACGCGAUCCUAGAACUAAACAAUAUUAUUAAUCAAGGCCGUGAACCCACACGAACCUGCCUUAACCCAAGGCCUAUGAUGAUUCAGACCGAACUGGCAACCCGACCCUGGGUCCCAGCUCGUCCUAAGCCAACCCAGGCCAACCAUUCCACAUUUUAGUUGUUAAGCAGGUUUUAAGAAUUAAAACACUAACUUGGGUACAUUGCUCGGCUUGCCCAUAACCGAGGGCGCGGCUAUUCGAAUAGAUUAUACUCUGAUCAGAGGUGUACAUCUUUACCCACAAGACACAUCUUUCUCACGUGCAACCACGUGCCACAUACCACCACGGUAUACAGACGAAAGACGUGACAUAGUUUCCAACCCAUCCUAGCCAUAGACAAGAGUACCGACCCAAUCCCACCUACGGCCGGAACCCCCAGGACAGGCAGGCAAGACUGAGCCCCUAGCAGCAGGGCACCAACCCUCUGCCAUGACAUCUCGACUACCGGGCCGCAGCUCGUGUAGCCUUCAUUUGCCCUGGAGAAUGUCCAUCGACCCCCGACUUCAUCCAUCUCCAAUCCGUGUACUUUUGUUUAUGACUAGACUGAGCCACAAACUAAGCCUUACCCACUAGACAUGUGGAAGUACGGUAGUGCUUUGCAACAGAGGCCCGAAGACCGGUCCUUAUAUGGCCGAGGUGCUACCAUCAAAACCAUGCACCCCGAGCCCAGCCUAAAACCAUUUUGGGGACUUUUGAAUAGAAGGAGCGGUGUGAAGCCAAUUCCACAAUAAACCAACAAUUCCAAAGUGUCCAGGUGAUAUGAAUAUUUCCCAAAGUCUAGAGUUGAAAAACCACCUAAUGUUACCUAAUUAAAUUGCGAAGCAUCUACCUAAAAUUAAACUAGUGGUGCCAUGAGUAGAGUGUCCACUAGUUGAGGUUUUGUUUAUUCUAGGGUGAACAAGGUAAUAUUAAUAACAAUAACAAUAAUCAUAAGGUCAUAACAAAGGUAAAUAGGCAUGGCUAAAUAAAACAGUGAUAACGCGAGAAUUUAAAUAAAGCGAUAAUGCAAUAAUUUAAAUCAACAUAAUUUUAUAAACGGGGAUUCAAUAUGAUCAAGAUGAUGUGUCUUGCCUUGCUCGCUUUCCCAAACGUCGGCUUCAACUUCCACGAAGAGCGGAUCUUCCGAAGCUGCAGCGUCUACACGACCAACGGAAAAGAAAAGGCUUUUACUCUAAAUAACUCCAUAUAACAGCAGAAACAAAGCACAAAAAUGGGUUCUUGACUUCUUAAGGAAAAAUUAGAGACUUGAACGGUCCAAUUCCGAGUUCAAAUGGCCAAGAUAUGGCCAUUUGAAGUUUAUAUGCUCUUUAAAUGAAUAUUUGCGAAUUUCUUCAUUUAAAUUUUAAUUAAAAAAUCCAUUUAUUGCGUCAGCCGAGAGAGAGGGCGCGCGGACCGGGUCCACGGGAGUGGGGCCCACGCGUCAGCCUCUCGGUCCACGGUGGACCGGGUGCACGCGGCUGGCGGCGGCCGGCGCCGUGGGUCCCACGCGUCAGCCGCACCCGCGGGCGCGGGCGGCUGACGGCCGGGCCCACCUGGCAGCCGCGGGGCGCGCCCGAAGGCGGCCUCGCCGGCACGGCCGACGGGAGGCGGCGCACCCGCGCCCCGAUGGUCGCCGCCGGCGACCAACGGCGCGGCGGAGCGGCACCCGAGAGAGCGGAGAAGAGAGGGAAGCGAAAGGGGCGGUCCACGGCUCACCCCGGGACGACGAGGGCGGCGGAAACGACGAUCGGAGCGGAGGAAAGCGGCGGCGCGGUUCGGGAUGACGAGGGCGACGGAGCUCCGGCGGUCGGCGGGCGAAGCGAAGGGGCGGACGGGGUCGGCGACAACGCGGCGAAGCCGAUGGAGGUGGCGCCGAGUCGGGAGGGAGUCCGGAGCGACGUCGGCGGCGUACCGGAGGUCGGCGGCGACGGCGGAGAGAGAGGUGGACGUCGCGAGCACGAAUCCGACGGCGAGAGCAAGCGACGAACGGCGGAAACGGAGGAGGGAGGCACGGGGAGCAAAUAUAUAGCGCCGAGAGGGGGAGAGCGCGGCCGGAGAGGGAGGAAACGGCCGCGGAGAUCUCGGCUCCAUUGAAGACGCCGGCGACGAUUGCGGGAUUCAAAUCGGACGAAUCCGAGGGAGAGAGAGAGGGAAAAGAGGGGGAAACGGGAGAGGAAAUCACGGGGAGUGAUUCCCCCCUCUUUAUGGCGCGCGGGGAAGGCGGGAUGCGGCGGAUUCGGCGGCGGCGGCGGCGCUAGGGCACGGGCGGCGGCGGGCGCGGCGCGAGGAAGGGGAUGACAGGUGGGCCCCACCCGUCAGCGAGGGUGGCGGGCGGGCCCGCCUGUCAGCGGCGCGCGCGCGCGGGGGAGGCCGAUGGGCCGCGGGGGAAGAGAGAGAGAGAGGGAGGGACUGGGCCGAGCCGGCCCAAGAAGGGAAAAGGGGAGGGGGAAAAGACUUUUAGGGAUUUUUUUCUUUUUAUAAAACCCUUUUAACUUUGUUUAUUUCUUUUCACUUAUUAUUUGUGCUCUGAAAAUUCCACUAAAAUUUAUUUACACAUUUUAGGCUUUUAGGAAAUAUACAAAAAUCCUCCAAGCCUCAUUUGACUUUUAUCUUUGCACAUUUUAAUUGUUGGAGGCUUUCACAUGAAUUUUAAUUAUUCUUUGCACAAUUUCGAGGAUGAGUUUUAGAGUCGUUUUGGGACGCGACAGUACGGUUCUUUCUUUCGGGCACCCCAUUUGAUUGGGGUGAAUAGGGAGGCGUCAUCUCAUGAAUAAUUCCAAACUCUUCGCAAAAAGAUGCAAACUCAUUGGAAAAAUACUCCCCACCUCUAUCAGACCUCAACCGUUUGAUUUUCCUUUCAAGUUGGUUUUCUACCUCAGCUUUAUAGAUUUUGAAGUAAUGCAAUGCCUCAUCCUUUGUUUUCAAUAGAUACACAUAGCAAAAUCUAGUGCAAUCAUCUAUCAGUGUCAUGAAAUAUUUCUUUCCCCCUUUAGUCAACACGCCGUUCAUUUCGCACAAAUCGGAAUGAACAAGUUCUAGAGGUGCCAAAUUCCUCGCCUCAGAUGCCUUGUGAGGCUUGCGAGGUUGUUUCGAUUGAACACAAGUAUGGCACUUGGAACCUUUGACCAAAGUGAAUUUUGGAAUUAAACUCAUGUUAGCUAAGCGCGUCAUACAACCGAAAUUCACAUGACAGAGUCGCGAAUGCCACACAUUAGACUCAUCAUUCUCGCUAAUAUGGUUCACAGCAUUAUGAUUAUUACACAUGUCAUUCAAAGAAAAGCGGAACAAGCCUCCGCUGUCAUAACCUUUUCCAACAAAAGUCCCAUAUUUAGAUACGACACAUUUAUUGGACUCAAACACAAGUCUAAAACCUUCUCUACACAAUAGAGAGCCGCUAACUAGAUUCUUCUUUAUUGAAGGGACAUGCUGCACGUUCUUCAGCUGCACGGUCUUUCCCGAAGUAAACUUCAGAUCGACCGUACCAACACCAUGAACAGCCGCAAGCGACCCGUUUCCCAUCAACAAGGAGGAACCUCUCCCGACCUGAUAAGAAGAAAACAGAGAAAUGUCAGCACAUACAUGAAUAUUAGCACCAGUAUCCACCCACCAAUCAGGUGAAUGAAAAACAGAGAGAACUGUAGGUAAUAUUUUACCGUACCCCGAUGUUCCUCCGCCCUCGCUAAUGAUCAUGUUGGCAGACUUCCUGUCUUUGCGCUCAGGACAGUCCUUGGCCCAAUGCCCAGACUUGCCACACACAAAGCAGUCUCCUUUUGCCUUUCCCUUGCCUUUCUUCUUAAAAUUGGUUGCAGCUUUGGGUUUGACAUCAGGCUUGACUUUCUUGUUGUUGUGGGAUGCAUGAGGGUUCUUCUUCUGUACCAUAUUGGCACUAGAACCUCCCUCAACCUUUUUGCCCCGCACGUCCUUUGCCCUCGCCUUCUCCUCAACACCCAAAGAGCCAAUGAGAUCAGGAACACUGAACUCUUGUCUCUUGUGCUUUAGAGAAGUGGCAAAGUCCGACCAAGAAGGUGGCAGUUUGGCAAUAAUGCCACCCGCCACAAACUUGUCUGGCAACUCACAGUUGUUGUUCUCAAGUUCCUUAGCCAGCAUCUGAAUCUCAUGAGCUUGUUCUACUACAGAACGGUCAUCGACCAUCUUAUAGUCAUAGAACUGCUCCAUGACAUACAGCUCACUGCCAGCGUCAGAAACUCCGAACUUAGCCUCAAGUGCAUCCCACAUGUCCUUCCCAGAAGGCAUGUGCAUGUACACGUCCACUAUGUUGUCAGCGAGUACACUGAUCAAUGCUCCACGGAACAGGCAAUCCGAAGCCUCGAACUUAGCCUCUUCCUCAGGAGAGAGAGGUGGUUCACUUCGUUUGCCCCGUGAAACAUAGAAGCACUGCAUCGCUGUCAACCAUAAUAGUGCACGUGCUUUCCAUCUCUUAUAGUUUGAACCAUCAAAAGCAUGUGGUUUCAGUGCAGCAGCAAAGCCAACUACCGAAAAUGACCUAUCAGGUUUUUGGAUUGUUGGAAAUAUAGUCAUUAUUCGGCAUAUUUUAAUCCAAGAAAUUGAAACAAUGAUCAUGGCAUAAGCAGUGUAGGGUGAUCUUAACAUAACCAGUAGCAUACUAUGCGCAUCAUGAAUGUCAGAAACAGGAACAUACCAGUAAUGCGAUAACAUGCUAGAGGCAUCAUGUAGAACAGGAACAAGAACAUAGCUCACACAGUAUAGCGCUAACAACAGUAGUAGGAGGAGAAGAUUAUACCCCGAGAAUGGCCCUCCGCUGGAUGGUGAGGCAGAAUUGCCUCCGUUGUUGUAGUCGUUCACGGCACCUCCUCCUGGCGCACCAGCUCCGGAUCCAGCUCCUGUCGGCGGCGGCGCACCAGCUCCGGAUCCAGCUCCUGUCGGCGGCGGCGCACCACCUCCGCCAGCAACUCCAGACAUGGCGAUGAGCAGUCGUGCAGGAGGCACUCCCCAAAAACCUGAUCACCCGCCUACCCGGUGCAGAUCUCAGGCGAAGGUGUGGUUUCGGAGGCACUGCUUCUUCCAAUCUCUCGUGCGCGCAAGAGAUCAGAAGCGGGGAAGGGAGAGAGCAACUCAGGCACAGGGGAGAAACUAACACCGGGGAAGCAGCUAAGAAAUCGGAUCAGACUCGCGGCCUCCUUUUCUAUCAGGAGAAAGAACGUGGACGCGCUGUUGCGGAGGGAAUCGUGGGAACGUGGGUUAGUGGCUGCAAAAGAGCGACGUGACGCACGCCCGCCGCCAGCCAGCCAGCCAGCCACGCCACGCCUCGCCCACGCCCACGCCCACGCCCCGGCCCGGCGCGCGCGCGCGCGCGUGUGGCAUUCCGACCCCCACCUCAACUGGUCAACAGGGAGCCUCUAAUAACUCCCUAUUUAGGUUGAGAUAUUUCUCGCUUAAAUCCUGAGGUGGUAUUAUUAUCCUUAACAUUUAUUAUGGGCCUUUGAGAUUUAAUAGAAUAAAUUGGGCCUAGCCCAAUUAUUCUAACAACCUCGACCCGCGCGCCGCUCUCCAUCAGCGGCGACGGGAAAGAGAGGCGGUGACGACGGGCGGUGGCGAGAGAGAUGACCCCGCCGACGCCGCUUGCCAUCGAGCAUUGCAAGAGAGAGAGAGAGGCAGUGACGAGAGAGAGAGAGAGGGCGUGGGGAGAGUGGAUCCGGCACCGACGAGGUAGAAGGCGACGAGAAGAGGAGGAAACGGAGCAGCGGCGGAGAGAGGGAGAAAAAUCAGCGCAGGAAAUGGUGGGCGGAAGAGACGAGAAGAGGAGAGGAAGAGAUAGGAGCAGCGUCGGUCAGGUUUUCCCAAACCGCAAGGGCCGGGGUUACCGCGCCCCAGCGGUAAGCACGGUUACCGCGCGGUAACCGUGAAAAAUCGUGCAAAAUUUAUCAAAAAUUUAAAUUAUUUUUUAAAUUCAUUUGAAUUUAAGGAGGUUACCAUGGUUUUUCUAUUACCGUACUCCCUCGGUAAGGCUGGUAACCGCGAUAACCGUGCGGUUACCGACGGUAAUGUAAACCUUGGCGUUGGUGGGCUGAUGGGCAGUGGGGAGGGGUAUUUUCUCACUUGAGGCUACCUUGGGCCGGGAUACCCUUUGUGGGCUAGAGUAUCUUUAUCAAAUGGCCUCAGAUUUUGAAGAACCCAUCAGAGGUAUUCUUCAUUGGAAGAUGAGUUCUCUAAGUAUGGCUUUGGUUGUACUUCCUUCAUUCCCAAAUAAGUGCAGCUUUGCUAUAUUCAUCUUCAACGUUUGACUACUCGUCUUAUUUGAAAAAUUUUUAUAAUUAAUAUUUUUGUUGUCAUUUGAUAAUAAAAUAUGAAUAGUAUUUUAUGUGUGACUAUUUUUUUAAACUUUUUCAUAAAUUUUUAAUAUGAAUAGUACAUGCCGUACUGUACUCGUCAUGCAUUGACAGUAUUGAAGGAGAAGCUACUCCAACUAGUACUAGUAGUAGGAGUAGGAGUAACACACAUCACGGGGCCGUAGUACGCUUUAGCCCCUGUCAUGAAUAUCCUGUCUCAAACCAGAGGCCAGCAAUGACAACACCACAACCGGACCAAUGGUACCCAGCUACUCCUACUGCAAGUCACUGCUGCCUGGUGCCAAAAGGCCAAUGCUACAGUGACCGGAGCACAGGUGAAAUUGCUGCCGCCCUCUUUGGGUCAGCUCUGCUCAGCUCUCAGCGACUGAGACUGAGCUGAGCUGACUCGCGACCGCUCGCCGGCGGGAAGGAACAGUGGUCAGUGCGCUCGGACAUCGCCGGCAGAGUGAGGCCACGGUUGUCGAUCUCAUCUCACUGGAAUCUGUCCCUGCAGGGUGGGGACACCGCCCCAUGCCGGUGGGCCCCCACCGUUGGAGGAUCCGAUGCGUACGUUAUGCUGGAGGGUGGGGCCCUUCCCCCGUGAUGUGGGGCCAAAAGGUGGUCAGCUCUGAUCAGUGGUGGCCCAGCUAUGGUUGUUUGUUCUUUCGGAGUUGGCGCCAUCUGGAAGCGAUGGGGGCGGGUCAGCCUCAUGUCAGGUCACUGAUGGUGGGGCCCAGGUUGGGCACGGGUGGGCCCCAGCGAGUUUGCUCUCGUUUCGUGCAACUCGUGUUGGUAGUGGUGGCAGUGGUGUCAUUUCGCUGGCUCUGCAGUACUCACUCCGUCAAAAAAAAAAAAAAAGUAAAAUCUGAUUUUUCGUGUCCAACUUUAUCUGUCCUUCUUAUAUAAAAUUUUUUUAUAAUUCGCAUUUUCAUUGUUGUUAGAUGAUAAAACAUGAUUAAUAUUUUAUGCGUGACUUGUCUUUUUAAUUUUUUUUAUAAUUUUUUCAAAUAAGACGGACGGUCAAAUGUUGGACACGGAAAUCAGGGUUUGUCCUUUUUUUUUUUCUUUUUGAUGACGGAGAGAGUAGGAAAAAUGAUGGAACAGUAGAGUCAGCCUCGGCCAGUAGCUGUGCUGCUUCUUUACCAUUACCGGUGGAGUUGUGAAGGAUUUGGGGGUUGAUUGACACUGUGGACAAUGAAUGCAGCUGUGAAUCUGUGGCGUCAUGUCAGUACUCAAGUACUCCUACCAAACUAGUACGGAUUAUUACUUGCUGGAUUGGAUUGGUUGCUCCCGUUGUUUGGUCGGAUCCAGUCCAGUGUCCGUCAAAACUCUCCGAUGCUUGGGGAUUUUGUGGGUGGUGGUUGGGCGAAGCGGGCGUCCCGGCGUUUUGCCGCGCGGAGCACACGCGGGGAGGAGCGCGGACGGGACGUAACGUACCACGUUGUAGUACGCGCUCGCGCGGGAAUCGAUCGCGGCUGCCGCCGUAUCGAUCGGUGAAGAGGCGGCGGCGAUGACCGGACCGCGCGGCGCGCGCACGUCGUGGGCGCGAGGCGACGGCGAAGAGGUCUCUUGCGGGGCGCGGUCGACGGGCGGUGGUGGCAGGUGGAGUGGAAGCGGAUCGUCGGCGGCGUCGACUCGGCUAAAGCUCUCGCUAUGCUCCGCGCGGUUGCAGCAGCUGGUGUCUGUCCGUCUCUCGCGCGCGUUGGUCGAUCGGAUUACAGACGCGGCGCGGCCUUUUUGUAGUAGCGGCGCUGGCGCAAGGUUGCGUGAUCUCGGCGUUCCAGGUGUGCGGUGAACCGGGGGUAAAGUAGUCUAGGCUAUAUUCUUUUUUUUUAUUAGUUUUAGUUAGCAUGCGAGAGUGUUUGAAAAUGUUAAAGGAUACAUUCCGUGCUAAAAUUUUCUAUAGAAGUUGCUUUAAAAUAUCAAAUAUAUAUAUUUUAAGUUUAUAAUAAUUAAAACUCACUAAUCAGGCACUAAUGAUUUUUUUUUCGGGCCCUAACUUCAUCUUCAGUCUUUUAGUAAAAAAAUGAACACCAACUCUGGCCAUCUAGAAAUCACCUACUCCCUCUCCAUCCGUCUCAAAAUACAAUUAUUUCUAAAAUUUCUCAUAAACAAUAAGUAAGGAACUAGAAAAACUAAAAUCGAGAUGAUUGUAAUAGAUUGAGAUGUAGAAGUAUGUAUACAAGUUGUUAUAUUUUAGGAUAAGUUUUAAAUGAUACUACCUUCGUUUCAGAUUAUAAGACUUCCUAGUAUUGCCCACAUUAAUAUAGAUGUUAAUGAAUCUAUUUGUGUCUAGAUUAAUUAACAUUUAUAUGAAUGUGGAAAGUCUUGUAAUCUGAAAUGGAGGAAGUAGAAACAAAGGUUACAAAUGCAUUAGAAGCACUCUAAAUAAAUUUUGUCGGAACAACUUGUAAUGCAUCGUCACCUUCUUCCCAAAAUAUUUAUUGAUUGUAACUUAGAUUGAAAGAAAAAAAAAUGUCCGUCAAACACUACAAUGUCUAAAGAUGGUUACACCAAACGAUAUCCCAUUGUCUUAAAAACAGUUAGACCAAAGGAUCACUUAUAUAAUCCACUGUAAUACCAAGCAAAAGCUUGGUGUACCGAUUUCGGUCCGUUGAGCGUCAGUGAUGACGGCAAUAGCCGGCAACCUCACAUCCACGAGGGGAAAAAAUUGGAAAGUAACAACCCAAAUUGUUUACAAUGACUAACUUAUCUACUCAACUUGUUUGCCAUUAGUCGCCGUAUGAAAAACAAGAGCCUGACCAAAUGGGUCAUAUGGGCAGGUAAACGACUCGGGCAACGAAAAAGAUACACCUUCUACAACACAUGCUACGGAUAAUUAGAUCUACGUCAACAUUAGUAAACAGAAUCAGCAUUUGCAGGGGAAUCGGUAACUUGCAGGGAACAGCUUCGCUUGUUACGUCAAUGACAGAGAGAGCAUUCUAAACAAAGGCGAAACAACAAACUUUGUCCUCCUCCAUCAAAAAGACAAUUUGCAUGUUUGAUAGGGACCACAAUGUUUGUGUAUGUGGAUGUGUGUGCAUCCAUAGGAUUUUCUCUAGAGUAGGAUAGAAUCCAUUGCCAAUGCUGAUGAGUGCUGGAAAGCUCAUGGAGCAAAAGCUACUUGUGGUAGGCAUUCAAAAAAUCCGGCAAGGCAAAUUAAUGACAUGUCACCAACUGGGAUCAAUGGAUCUAAGACAAGGGCUUCAGGAUGAUAUGAGAACACACAGCCCCACAAUCUCUCUGAAAUUUAGUGAAGGUGGCAACACCGAUGCUUGUGCCAAGAAAGUGAAGCCCCCUGGUGUUAUACUUUUCAGCCUGCACGUUGAAUGGUGUUCAGUCCAGACACGUGUGCUCAGCUAGAGCUUUAAAAUGCGAUAUCCAUCAAGAUAGUACUAGUAGAAGAUUGUCCAUCCACAGAAGUUAACAAAUGCAAGCAACCACACCUCACUUUCGGAUUAGCAUUGCAGAGACUGAUGACAUAAUAGACCAGGAAUUUUCAACCUUGAUUUUUCUUUUCAUCAGUUCAUUUCUCACUUCUCUUUCAAAGCUAAUUACAACACAACACAACCGAAAAGGCAGGUCAUGCCAUGCCAUGCCACCCCCCUCCAACCCAAUCAAAUCAUGGCUCAUCUAUGGGAUAAUAUGUUUCUUCUCCCAAUUGCUAAAACAAUCCAAGCAGAGAAUGGUGAGGAAUAUAGAGGGAAAGAGGAACACCACCACAUCACAAAAGUUACCUUGUCCUGCAUUCUAAUUAAAUUUUGCUUCAGUUAAGAGAACAACAAAAAGAACAAAGCUAAAGCAGUUGGGAGAGGGAGAAAGAGACCAGCUUUUGACAUCCAUGCAUAAAACUGCUAAAAAGAGAUUCUAUGCACCUCCAGCUUUCCAUCAUGAGAGGAUAACCUACUACACAAAAGUAUCACUCCCAUCAACCAUUCCAAAUACUUCAGUUAGCAAAUGAUCCAGCAAAGGAAUGGGCGCGCCGUCCUCUUCGAUUAACAGCCAGCAAACAGGCUCUUGCGCCUGUGGCUGUUGCUGCGAUCUGCUUCUUCUGGGGUCCAAGAGGCGUAGCUCCGUUCGCGCAUAUUCAGAAUUAGCAGUUAGCUCGCAAGUCCAGAGUAGCGUCCUGAAGUCCGAGCAUCGACAUCUUACUUGCCUGAUAAGACGGAUGUUUCAAUUAGGAAAAAGAAUUCACAGCAGGCUUGUUUCAUGGGAGAAACAUUUGAGCUUAUACAGGGAAGAAAUAGAAGAUGUGGAGAAAAGAGCAAGUCCAUUACCAGCAGCAGGCUUCUGAUCACUUGAUGGUUUUACAGACAUUGACAUUGGGGCCCCAAAAGUCAAUUGUGCCGCUGACAUAUGAGAGUGAGGCACACCGCUCGGAGACUGAGAUGCUGCGGCAAGAUGCAUAAAACUGCCAGCGGGAGGAUGAUGAGUCUUCAUGUUAUUGCUGGCUGCAGCUGCAAGAACAUUCACUGGAUCAGUUAGCAUUGCAGUUGUGGAAAUAGACAUGGAAGUAGAGCAUAGGGAGAGCAUAGUAGACGAACCCGACAUGGCGCUCUGCUGAUGGGGCUGCUGCUGCUGCUGCGUCUUGUCAGCUGAGCGCUUCUGGUAAAGGCCAAGAGCAACACCUCCAGCAGCUCCAGGGGCUUGUGGUGUGUAUGCAUUGGAGAUGAAGAAAUGACCUCCUUGUGGAAAUGGCUGCUGUUUCAUCAUGUGCGACUGCUGCUUACUGCCUGAAUUAGAACCAGGCGGCACAUUUGGCUGUUGACCAAGGAUCGAUGGCAUAGGCAUACUACUAUAGUGAUUUGUGGGAGCUGACUUGGCUCCAGACGUCGAUGCUGGAUUCUUGGCUGAUUGUUGUUGAGGUGACGGCAAUUGGACAGCUGGUGGAACACCCUUUGCACUUCCAGAAGCCGGUGGGCUGCCACCAGUACUUUUGGAGACUGAAUUGGAUGGUGAACCAGAAGCAACGGGAGCAUUUGAAGAUCUUGACAAAUCCCCUCCUCCAGUAGACAUAUUAGUGACAGGACCCAUCUUUGAUGAACUCUGGGGUUGGUGGUUUGAGGUAGAGAGAGACUGCAUAGGAGCCUUAGCUUGUUGCUGAUGGAGACCACUCUUCAUCACAAUCAAAUUAGAGGGUGAAGCACCAGGGGAAGCCACACCAGCAGGUGCACCUGUUGCUCUGGCUGACGAAGGCUUCAAUUGAGGAGAUUGACUAGGAACACCCACUUGGGCAGCACUUGAUGGGUACAUCAUACCCUGAAAACUUGGCAUGUUCAAGCGGUCUGAAUAUCCACCUGUAUUGCUUGGUGCAGCAGAUCUGGGGCGAGAGUUCAUAUGGUGAUGCUGAAUCAAUUGUUGCUGCUGCUUAUGAAGUUGAAGGAAAUGUUGUUGCUGCUGCUGCUGCUGCUGCUGCUG